rfam:Ovis aries breed Texel chromosome 14, whole genome shotgun sequence.
UCCCUGGUGGUCCAGUGGCUCAAACUCUGCACUUCCAAUGCAAAGGGCCCAGGUUCAAUCCUGGGUCAGGGAA